AUUGAACGCUGGCGGCAUGCUUUACACAUGCAAGUCGAACGGCAGCGCGGGCUUCGGCCUGGCGGCGAGUGGCGAGCGGGUGAGUAAUACAUCGGAACGUGCCCAGUAGUGGGGGAUAGCUCGGCGAAAGCCGGAUUAAUACCGCAUACGACCUGAGGGUGAAGGCGGGGGAUCUUCGGACCUCGCGCUAUUGGAGCGGCCGAUGGCAGAUUAGCUAGUUGGUGGGGUAAAGGCCUACCAAGGCGACGAUCUGUAGCUGGUCUGAGAGGACGACCAGCCACACUGGGAGUGAGACACGGCCCAGACUCCUACGGGAGGCAGCAGUGGGGAAUUUUGGACAAUGGGCGAAAGCCUGAUCCAGCAAUGCCGCGUGUGUGAUGAAGGCCUUCGGGUUGUAAAGCACUUUUGGCGGGAACGAAAAGGACUGUGCCAAUACCACGGUUCGAUGACGGUACCCGCAGAAUAAGCACCGGCUAACUACGUG
rnacentral:rRNA from 1 species